UGGUGACCUGAGGUUCCCUGGCUGUCACUCUGUCCUAGCCCAUUCUGGCCUGCGGGGCACAGGAAGAGUCCCAGUAUAGUCUGUGGGGUCAUGACCC
rfam:Canis lupus familiaris chromosome 34, whole genome shotgun sequence.